CAAAAAACAAUCUCAGUUCAGACUGCAGGCUGCAACUCGCCUGCACGAAGUCGGAAUUGCUAGUAAUCGUAGGUCAGCAUACUACGGUGAAUACGUUCCCGGGCCUUGUACACACCGCCCGUCAAACCAUGAGAGUUGGCAACACCCGAAGUCGGUAGUCUAACCGCAAGGAGGACGCCGCCGAAGGUGGGGUUGAUGAUUAGGGUUAAGUCGUAACAAGGUACC
rnacentral:rRNA from 1 species